rnacentral:tRNA from 1 species
AAAAAAUUAUUUAAAAAAUAAUAUAGAAAUGUCAAAUCUAAAUUACCAAUAGGUAUUUUUUU